rnacentral:rRNA from 1 species
UUUUAUUUGGUUAAAACAACCCCGCUUUUUAGGAAGGUGGGGGAGAUUUCCUUCCAAAAAAGGGCCCCCUUUUCCUGGAUUGGCGGCCACCCCUGGGUCGGAAAUUUAAAGAGAGCUUGCGGGGGCAAACCGGAGGGAAAGGCGGGAUGAUAAGCACAGGUAGCUAAAGGUGGCCAUGAGGCCAAGGCUUCACACCCGGUACAAAUGGGGGUACACAGGGGAGUACAAAGGCGCAGAGGCGAGGCAAUAACCCCAAAAACCAUUCUCAGUCGGGAUGGAGGUUGGAAAGGAAACCCCAGGAAUUUGGAAGGG